GGAUAUCUAGGUGCCCAAGGGGUAUUCGUACCAAAUACAUAUUGCGAGUCAUUUUGAUCCAUGAUAUCCUGAGUUCCAGAUAUGCAUUCUUCAUAGGAAGGUGGUGCUAAACAGAGAAAAAGAUUACUUGAAGAAGCAAAGGGUUGUUCUGGAGAAACGAAAGCAAUAGUUUGAGUUUCCGGUGGAAGAUGCGACCUAUCAAAUUGACCUGGUGUCGGCAUUGGAAAUGAUGUCGUCGUGGAUGCAUUUAUAUCGUUCAGAGAUGGUGCGGAAGGCGGAUAAUAGAGUGGUAUCGUUCCGAUUAAAAGAGGAUAAUUUUUCUUCAUUUUAAAAUGCCUAAUUUUAAACAUAAAUGAAAUCAUUGAUUAUAUCUGUUAUUAGAUAUGAUAGUAAUGAUGUUAUUAGGUAUUAUGUAAUAUUUACAGUCCUGAAACGUGUACAAUAACGAGUAAUUCGUAAUUCAAAUCUAUUAUGCUACAAUAUUCCAAAUAGGACGGUGGUAUAGGUGGGAUUAAAAUCCCUGAUAUGGUUUGUCCACGAGCCAGAAACGAUUCUGAAGUGUCCUUAGUUACGAUUUCAACAGUACUAAAGUUCAAUCUUGUGCGCGGCGUAGAUGCAUAAAAUUUGAGUUUCUUAAAGAAAAGAAGAUGUAAUAAUUUUUCAGUGAAAUUAUGAAAUUGGUAUUUCGAUCGUGAUCAUCACUCACUUGUAACAAUUUUGUACUGAUCUUCGUUAUUUGUAUAUUAUUUGUGGAAUUCACGUAAUUCAUCAUUGUGAUUAUUGACUGGCCUGGAACGUAUCCAGAAGAUGGUACUUUAAUUUGUAAAUUAAUUGAUCCUUGAUUGCAACAGCAAAAAAAGAAAUUUUUUAUUAUUUCAUCAUCCAAUCCUAGCUAUUCAAAAAACAGAAUAAUCCAUCUGAAUUCGUAAUGUAAUAUAUAAUACGUAAGAGACAAUAUCAAUAUCAAUAUCUUACGCAUUUUUCACGAUGUGCGUUCAAGUCCAAAGUUGAAAUAACUGUGAAUGCUAUUUUGGUUUGAUGAUCGAAUCUCCAUGGUCUAUCCAUUAUGGCUUUUAUAGUAUAUCUUACAUGUCCGUAUUUAUGCUCGAAACUGCUUGGUAUAUUAUGAGGUAAUUGAAA